UUUAAGAUAUCUAAAGCUAACAGAAAAAUCAUUGCUAGGAUAGAGGGACAAUGAUUUAGGAAAGAUGACAAUAGACACCUUUAGUCUGAGACUAACAAAUCUGUAGCAGAAGGAGGACAACUUUGGAGCAAAUUCAGAGCAGUUGAGGGUCCCAGUUAUUCAGCAAAAAACAGAGUAUAUCGUUAUAAAAACAAACAAACAACUGUGUGCAGUAGAUAGGUAAAUCAUGAGGGAAGAAAUGUGAAUGGCCAAAAAUGCUUGUCUUGCUUUUCUAGAAACUGAACAAUGGCAAAGAAUAAAAAGUCUGUUAAGGCUAAGAGUUGUCAAGCUGGAAAAUGUCUGGAAGAGAAGAGGCAGAGAAACAUGCAAAAGUCCUGGGACAGCUCUGGAAACUAAGAUGGUGAUCUGCUUUCUGGUAUGAAGAAAAAAGAAGAUUCAGUAAACAGCUGGUGAUAUAUGCAGUAUGAUCCUCUGUCGUGACUGACUGGGGGCAGUGAGCCACAGCUCUGUCAGCCAUGUGACCACAAG